rnacentral:rRNA from 1 species
UACGUAGGGUGCGAGCGUUGUCCGGAAUUAUUGGGAGUAAAGAGCUCGUAGGCGGCUUGUCGCGUCGGAUGUGAAAGCCCGGGGCUUAACUUCGGGUCUGCAUUCGAUACGGGCAGGCUAGAGUUCGGUAGGGGAGAUCGGAAUUCCUGGUGUAGAGGUGAAAUUCGUAGAUAUCGGGAGGAACACCGGUGGCGAAGGCGGCGACCUGGGACAAUACUGACACUGAGGUGCGAAAGCGUGGGGAGCAAACAGG